AACGAACGCUGGCGGCAUGCCUAACACAUGCAAGUCGAACGAGACCUUCGGGUCUAGUGGCGCACGGGUGCGUAACGCGUGGGAACCUGCCCUUAGGUUCGGAAUAACUCCCCGAAAUGGGUGCUAAUACCGGAUAAUGUCUUCGGACCAAAGAUUUAUCGCCUUUGGAUGGGCCCGCGUUGGAUUAGCUAGUUGGUAGGGUAAAAGCCUACCAAGGCGACGAUCCAUAGCUGGUCUGAGAGGAUGAUCAGCCACACUGGGACUGAGACACGGCCCAGACUCCUACGGGAGGCAGCAGUGGGGAAUAUUGGACAAUGGGCGAAAGACUGAUCCAGCAAUGCCGCGUGAGUGAUGAAGGCCUUAGGGUUGUAAAGCUCUUUUACCCGGGAUGAUAAUGACAGUACCGGGAGAAUAAGCUCCGGCUAACUCCGUG
rnacentral:rRNA from 1 species